CGACACUCCACAUAAGCUCACAGUUCAUCUCCGGAACAAACUAUGGAAAUAAAGUUGAAGUAAGAGUUGAAGGAGGGAUGCCAGAAGAACUACGGAAAGAAGAAUCACAUGGAAAUAUUGCAGCUUGGGAAAAGUCCGCCCUGUGAAGAACAGUGACAGCCCAAGGACGUGUUCUGGAGACCUUCAAAUGGUUUGGAGAGAGAAAAAAAGACUGCUAAAACCACUGUAAACUCAAAAAACCAGGUCUCCAGAGAAAAGCCAUGAAAAACAUCAGUAGAAGAACAUCUCAGGGUGACAUCCCUGUGGACCCCAGAGUCAGGGUGACCAUAAAGAGACCCCCGUGUUUCACCCCCAUGUCCUGAUGGAGAAAGGUCAGGGGUCAUAGGGAGCAUGGAUAUGUCCAUUCCCAGAGGGGAGGAAGGGUAAUGGAAUGGCAGAUUCGGGCCAAACGGAGCAAUUUGCGCUUAUCCCAUCUGAACAUGGAAGAAAAGAGAAAGACAUGAGGAGGUAAGCACAAUAAUGACCGUUUAGAUUCGCCACGGAAGACUGCUAUAAUGUGAAACAUUGAAGAUUGAAAAUGUGUGAGAUAAAGUACUGUUCAAAAGUCACAGUAAAGACAUUUAUAAUGUUCUUUUGAACAACAUUUGACGAA